CCCAGUGUAGGUGGUAGAGAAGGGCAGCGAUGUCUCGAAUUGACCUCUCUCACUCAGUCAACAGAAAUUUGUUGACCUGUUGUAACUUGUAGGAGUCCGAGACUGAUUAAUUUGUCAUAAGUCAGAGGUAUCAACGAUGUACCAGUGUUUCACAAACUAUAUAUUACCACCGGUUUCUCACGGAUUUCACCGUUAAUUUCAUUUCACCGCCUUUAAACACAACGGCAAAACGGACGGGGCCGAAUUAAUUGGGCUAAGACAUGAAACACGGAUUAUUUAUAAGGUUAACGACUUCUGAAAACAAAUCCUCCGAUGUUUCUUAAAAAGGGAUACAUUUGAGAAAUGUAGGAUGACAACUUGGGCGGAAAGGAUGCAUCGUCGAGCUGCAACGUUUAGCAAUGUCGUCACAUCAUGUGGACAACCCAACGUCCACCCAUAUCCAAGAAGGCUUGAAAAGGUCAAAUUUGGUGUGCCGCUUGAUGAAGUCUGUAAAAAUGACAUUCCUGGACCUUUACUGGUUUUGGUACUGAAAUUGAACAAAGAGGCUCCAAUUAAAAAGGAUGUGUUCCGAGCCCCAGGUCAUCAAGGUAACAUGAAGAAACUGGUCCAUUUCUUACAAACUGGAAGACUUGUGAAUAUGGACAACUAUUCUGUUUAUACUAUUGCAUCAGUUUUGAAAAAAUUUUUGAGGAAAAUUCCCGGCGGGAUAUUUGGAAGAGCUAAUGAACAACAUUUAUUUACGAUAGUUCAAAUGGAAAACAUGGAAGAACAGAGAGAUGAAAUUCACAAGUUAAUAACAUCACUUCCUUCAUACACACAACGCUUGUUAGUCCUUUUAUUUGGUACUUUUCAAGUAAUUGCUAGUAAUGCGGAGAAAUUUAAUACGGGGAUGACCUCUGAGGCUUUAGGUGUUUCUGUUGCUCCGAGCUUUUUCCAGAGUUGUGUAUCUGAUGGGAAAACAGCCAAAAUGGAAGAUGUCCUUAGGUUCAAAGCUGAAGUUCAUGUCGCAACUCGGAUAAUGAAACUUCUCAUAGAUAAUUUUGGGGCUUGUGACUUGUUUGGUAGACCCAAUUAUGAAUUUUAUGCCCGCAUAACAGGGAGAAUAUUGAAAGUGGAAGAUGACUGGAUUUUCAGUUUCCGUUACCCACCUGAAAUUUUUGCUCGUCAGCUGUCAUCAGAAAAUGAAAAGACUUGCCUUCAGUACGAAUGUGAAAGAUGGGGCUUGAAAUUCAACUUAGAAACAAUGUCUCACCAAGAGGAAAGCCAAUCUACACCAGCUUUAAUCCACCUACCAGAUCUCGAUAACGGUGCUUCCAGUUCCUUAGGUAUUAUCCCUGAAAAUAAUCUAUUGGAAAGUUGUACCAGGCUUUCUAUCAGUCUAGAAGAAAACGGUUUAUUCAAGGCAAACAACUUUCUUCGCUGGACUUGUUGUCUUUAUUGAUAGAAAGGGUUCUAGCAGGUCUUCCUCAAGCAGUGCUUCAGCACAUCACAUGACCCUUGAGGAGUUAAAAGCAGUAAACAGAUAUGCCGAGAGUACAAAAAGUCUCACCUAUCUACCUCAGGUCCAUGAAAGACAAACUGCCAGAAUGAGAACAAGAUCUGAAUGGUUUUUGAAUCCUGGGUAUAGACUGGCCUCAUCGAUGGAUAGUGACCCAACUUUACAUGUUCUCAGAGGAUCUAACAACUUUACAUCUUCUGGGAACAUUG
rnacentral:misc_RNA from 1 species